CGAUUCGCCCUUCGGGGCGCACCAGGCGCGAAAACUCCACACUGUUCGACAGUACGAUGGGGUUAUCUCGAGUGCAGUCCGAUAAGGGCUGCUUUUCCAUAGAGUAAUAUCCUGUGGGAAUAAGAGGGGGGCAAGACUGGUGUCAGCCGCCGCGGUAACACCAGCCCCUCGAGUGGUGGGGACUAUUAUUUGGUCUAAAGCGUCCGUAGCUGGCUGUAUCCGUCCCCCGUUAAAUCCAGCGUCCUAAGCGUUGGACUGCGGGUGAUACCAUACAGCUAGAGGGUGGGAUAGGUGAGCGGUAUUUCUGGGGUAGGGGCGAAAUCCUUUGAUCCCAGGAGGACCACCAGUGGCGAAGGCUGCUCACUAGAACACGCCUGACGGUCAGGGACGAAAGCUGGGGCAGCGAACCGGAUUAGAUACCCGGGUAGUCCCAGCUGUAAACGAUGCCAGCUAGGUGUUGGGUCGGCCACGCGCCGCCCCAGUGCCGCAGGGAAGCCGUUAAGCUGGCCACCUGGGGAGUACGGCCGCUAGGCUGAAACUUAAAGGAAUUGGCGGGGGAGCAC
rnacentral:rRNA from 1 species